GAUGAACGCUGGCGGCGUGCCUAAUACUUGCAAGUCGAGCGAACAGACGAGGAGCUUGCUCCUCUGACGUUAGCGGCGGACGGGUGAGUAACACGUGGAUAACCUACCUAUAAGACUGGGAUAACUUCGGGAAACCGGAGCUAAUACCGGAUAACAUGUUGAACCGCAUGGUUCAACAGUGAAAGACGGUCUUGCUGUCACUUAUAGAUGGAUCCGCGCCGCAUUAGCUAGUUGGUAAGGUAACGGCUUACCAAGGCAACGAUGCGUAGCCGACCUGAGAGGGUGAUCGGCCACACUGGAACUGAGACACGGUCCAGACUCCUACGGGAGGCAGCAGUAGGGAAUCUUCCGCAAUGGGCGAAAUCCUGACGGAGCAACGCCGCGUGAGUGAAGAAGGUCUUCGGAUCGUAAAACUCUGUUAUUAGGGAAGAACAAAUGUGUAAGUAACUAUGCACGUCUUGACGGUACCUAAUCAGAAAGCCACGGCUAACUACGUG
rnacentral:rRNA from 1 species